ACCACCAGCAUUGCAAAAGCCUCAAAGCAGAAGGAUCAGUUUUCACCAUGUGAGCAGCAGCUGAGAGCAGGAAGCGCUGUGGAACAUCUGACUGUGACACGUGUGUCCACGCAGGGCCCCGGCAUGGGGGAGGCAGGGCUUCCGGAGGACCUACUGCUCCUUCUACCCUGUGAAAAGGCUGUUUUAGAUCACAGAAUCCAAGAAAUGGUGAAUCAUAGAUACUGAAUCCUAGAAUUAACAGAUCUUAGGAAUGAGGCCUCUCGACGCUCCUUAGGCCUUGGCUUUGAGGACACCUGCCCGGCUGCUUCUCCUCCUGCCCCCUCUUACACUGCAAGUGUUCUCCUGGAAUCCUGUCACCACGGUAAAUAAAACCAGGAGGAUCCCCAGCUCCCAGCCUGGGCUUACUCUGAGUGGAUGGGGAGUGGAUCCCUAGCAAGGAGUCAGCAGCCUGAGGCCUGCUGCAGUGUGAAGACUCCAGACACCCCUGCUGGACCAUUCUCACCAAAGCCAUUCUAGCCCAGCUGUUCCUCAGCAAAUCCACCAGUCUCCUACAGACCUUGAAUGUGCACAGGCACCUCAGCAGAUCUUCCAGCUAACUGUGGACUCCUGAGAGUCAUUUAAGCCCUGAAGUGUUGGGUGGUUUGUUACACAGCAGUAACAGUAACUGACUGACACAGAGGGAAGAGUUUCUUUAGAGAUAGACAGAAGAUAUGUGGUUGGCAUCUAUACUCAUGGGGGAGGGAAAGGAAUGCUUCUCCAUAAGAUGAAGCCAGGAGAAUUACUUAGCUGUCUUAGCUUGUGUCCCCUACUGGAUUGCAAGUAGGGGUUAGUGCAAGACUCAUAUCCAAAGGCCCUGGGAAAGGUCAACACUUCAGCAAGGCUGGGUCAGGCAGAAACCUGCAGCACUUGCCCAGGGAGGAGGACUUGGGUCCCUGGAACAUGGGACUCAGCAGAGCUGAUGUGGCUGAGACAAUGGCAUUGCAGAGCACUGUCCUGGGAUUUAGGCAACCUGGACAGAGCCUGGCCACACUGCCCAUUGGCUGGAUAAGUCUGGAAACUUCACAUCUUCUCCAUGAGUCUCAUUCCCCCAUCUGUGAGAAGGGAGCCAAUAGAGAAGUGGGGGGAACCUGUAAUAACUGGCCUUUCCAGCUCACAGGCUGGGUGCCUAGAGCCACGCACUGGCCUGUUCGGGCAGUGGCACAGACCCUACCCUGCCAGGGGGUCCUGGCAGCCUGAUGGGGCAGAGGAAGCCCACAGGGAGCAACAGUGCUGGGGUCAUUGACUCCAGGGUGCUGGGGGUCAUGGUCUCUGCACAGCCUCCACGCCCGUGCCUUAUACCAGAUCAAUUGAGGGGAGCCUCAGCUCAUCCCGCCCAGUCCUCUGGGGGUCAUGCAGGGCACCUAGCUCAGCGUGUACUUCCCCCGGGGUAUGGGUGGCAGGUUACCGGAUGAGGUCCAGAAGGGCGUCGGCUGAGCUCAUGACCGGCUUCCCACUCUGCUCUGUCAUCUCCUUCUGGGCUGCACCCCCCGGGUGGAUGAUGGAGACCAUGAUGAUGCCCACGACGACAGCCAGGAAAGUGGUCCACAAGUAGUAAGCCACAGUGAGGAUGCCCAGGCGGCUGGAGGUCUUGGCAUCCAGGGAGGCAAGACCGGACAUCAGGCUGGGAGAUUGAGAUGGGUCAGAGGCUGUGGGACGCAUGAGACCCAGGCUGGGUGCACAGACUGGUCCUCUCCAGGCCCUCCCAGCUGUGCCCAGCAUCCACUCAUUCCCCGAGGUCCCUCUCAGUUCUGGGCUCCUUCUGGCCUCUUGGCUCCCAGUGCCAGGGUCACCAUCAUAGUUCUAGCUCUGCUCUACCCUCCCAGGCACCCCUGUCUGGGAAGCAGCUUUCCUCAUGCACCAGUCCAGGUGCAGCCCGCCUGUCAGCGGAGUCUUUGGACUAUCUGCCUCUUUCCCAGAGUCAAGAGCCCAUUCUGGAGUUCCCCGAACCUCUUCCAACACCACACCAGCCUGAUUAUCACUGCCUGCCCUCUGUCACUGGAUUGAGAGCAGGUGACAGGAGGGGCAGGUCUGGCCUCUGGAGGAUCCCCGGCUCCCAGCCUGGGCUUACUCUGAGUGGAUCCCUAGCAAGGAGUCAGCGGCCUGAGGCUUGCUGUAUCCCAGCCGGGUUCAGCCAACUGUCCACAACCCUGUCCUGCGGUCCCCAUCUCCAAAACAGGGCCCUGAGAGGAGCUGCUCCCAGAUCAGAGCCACCUGGCACCAUCUUGGGUAAGUGCUGGGGUCCAGACUUGGCCCCCAGCUCCUCCUCACCUCUGACCACCCGGCCUAGGCUCUCUGUUACCCAGUGCAGGUCACCCCAGUGCUGCUGUGCCCAAGCCUUGCAGGGUACUCAGAGGGAGUGGGGGAGGGGCCAGGCAAGAGAUUAAGGAAAUGCCAUGCUUUGUUUUGCUGCCAAAGGAUUUUUUCCCAAAGCCCUUUCAUUCUUUCUGAUAAAGAAAGUGUUUGUCUGGUUUUAAUCAUGUAAACAAGAGCAGAUAAUCCUUC